GACGAACGCUGGCGGCGUGCUUAACACAUGCAAGUCGAACGGACAGGCCCUGCUUUUGUGGGGUGCUCGAGUGGCGAACGGGUGCGUAACACGUGAGUAACCUGCCCUUGACUUUGGGAUAACUUCAGGAAACUGGGGCUAAUACCGGAUAGGAGCUCCUGCUGCUUGGUGGGGGUUGGAAAGUUUCGGCGGUUGGGGAUGGACUCGCGGCUUAUCAGCUUGUUGGUGGGGUAGUGGCUUACCAAGGCAUUGACGGGUAGCCGGCCUGAGAGGGUGACCGGCCACAUUGGGACUGAGAUACGGCCCAGACUCCUACGGGAGGCAGCAGUGGGGAAUAUUGCACAAUGGGCGGAAGCCUGAUGCAGCAACGCCGCGUGCGGGAUGACGGCCUUCGGGUUGUAAACCGCUUUCGCCUGUGACGAAGCGUGAGUGACGGUAAUGGGUAAAGAAGCACCGGCUAACUACGUG
rnacentral:rRNA from 1 species